UAUAUGUAAAUGACAAUGCGCUCACGUGGGCCGGAUUAAAGGGAUCGGUAUAGCGGAAGACAGAGGCUGCAUCAACACCACAGCACCUGCAAGGCCAGGUACAUGACAAGGACAACACGACAGAAUGACAAAAAAGAAAAACCAAGAGUGAUGAGGGGGAGCAAGAUGGACAGAAGAGAGAUGAGGAAGAGGAAAUAAGCAAUGCUUCUUAUUUUGUUAGUGACAUCUCUACAGAGAAGACUCUAAAAUGAAGAGACAUGUCCAUUGUCCAUGUACCUCUGUCAGCCACCAGCGUCACCUCACUUAAACUGAAGACUCUGAUAAUGAAGACACAUGUCCCCGUACCUCUGUCUGCCACAAGCGUCACCUCGCUCAAACUGAAGACUCUGAUAAUGAAGACACAUGUCCCCGUACCUCAAGUUCUGUCAUCACUGGCCAGAAUCAGGAGAUCAUUCAAAUGAUGACAGGACAGAAGGCUGCAGUGAGGCCUAGGACAGCUGAUGAGCAGGCUGCUGCAGUGAAGGCAACCCUGGACAACCCUUUGUUCUGAAAAAAUCUCCAGGAAAAGUGGGCAGGCAGGCUUACCUUCAAAACAAUCCAUUUAUUCCCUCCAGACCCUGGAUUAACGUAAACGACUUUUGUUUAUAAGACAAUCCAGUCCAAGAAAAGAAGAAUAAUUUGAGCACAUCACUGUUCUGUUUAAGUUUGCUGCAUGGGAACACAUCUCUUAGUUUCUCUGCUGUGUUCCUUUUAUUUAAAACCUUUUGAUUCUCUUAUUGAGCAUUGAGUCACUACUCAACAUUUCUGUAAAAUUCAGAAAAUGGUGAUAAAAUAUGGUCAAAAGUUAAGCUGUGUUAGAAUAAAUUAAUCUUGAUGUUGUAGAAUAACUGAUAGAAAUGUACACUAUAAUUAAAACUAUUUACACAA
ensembl:sense_intronic si:ch73-269m14.3 si:ch73-269m14.3